rnacentral:piRNA from 1 species
UCCUGAUGAAGAUGAAGAACAUGGCCACUGC